rnacentral:rRNA from 1 species
GACGAACGCUGGCGGCGUGCUUAACACAUGCAAGUCGAACGGAAAGGCCCUGCUUUUGUGGGGUGCUCGAGUGGCGAACGGGUGAGUAACACGUGAGUAACCUGCCCUUGACUUUGGGAUAACUUCAGGAAACUGGGGCUAAUACCGGAUAGGAGCUCCUGCCGCAUGGUGGGGGUUGAAAGUUUCGGCGGUUGGGGAUGGACUCGCGGCUUAUCAGCUUGUUGGUGGGGUAGUGGCUUACCAAGGCUUUGACGGGUAGCCGGCCUGAGAGGGUGACCGGCCACAUUGGGACUGAGAUACGGCCCAGACUCCUACGGGAGGCAGCAGUGGGGAAUAUUGCACAAUGGGCGGAAGCCUGAUGCAGCAACGCCGCGUGCGGGAUGACGGCCUUCGGGUUGUAAACCGCUUUCGCCUGUGACGAAGCGUGAGUGACGGUAAUGGGUAAAGAAGCACCGGCUAACUACGUG